rnacentral:rRNA from 1 species
GAUGAACGCUGGCGGCGUGCCUAAUACAUGCAAGUCGAGCGAACCGACCAGGAGCUUUCUCCUCUGACUUUGUCGGCGGACGGGUGCUUCACACGUGUUUAACCUACCUAUAAGACUUUUAUAACUUCGGGAAACCGUAUCUACUACCGGAUAAUAUAUUGAACCGCAUUGUUCAAUCGUUAAAGACGCUUUUUCUGUCACUUAUAGAUUGAUCCGCGCCGCAUUAUCUAGUUGUUAAGGUAACGGCUUACCAAGGCAACGAUGCGUAGCCGACCUGAAAGGGUGAUAGGACACACUGGAACUGAGACACGGUCCAGACUCUUACGGGAGGACGCAGUAGGGAAUCUUACGCAAAGGGCGAAAGCCUGACGGAGCAAAGCCGCGUGAGGGAUGAAGGACUAAGGAUCGUAAAACUAUGUUAGUAGGGAAGAACAAAUGUGUAAGUAACUGUGCACGUAUUGACGGUACCGAAUCAGAAAGCCACGGCUAACUACGUG